CGGUUACUCAAACAAGAUCCAUGUGCUAUUAAUGACUCCAAAAUGUUUCGUUGAUAUACCAAUAAGUUCCUACUUCAUUGUUAUGGCAUUGAUGACUCCAAAACACUUUAUUGAUGUGCCAAUGAGUUCUUACUUCAUUGUUAUUGCAUUGAUGGUCUAUUUAUAUGUCUCUUAUUGAUGUAUCAUUGUUUCAAAGUAUCAAAAAUGCGGUGGCGACCGAAAUAACAAUCUCAAAGAUUAAUUGAACUAAGUGAUGAAAGUUUUCUCUUAUCGGGUGGUAUCCCAGGGGCAUAAGCCUAUCAUGGGUCGAUCCCUAUUUAUGUGUUUAUGGGUGGUAUCCCAGGGGCACAAGCCUAUCAUGGGCCGAUCCUUGUUGAUAUGUACUGGAGGCAGCCUAAGGGUCACAGUACAGUACAGUUAUGGGUAAAGUGAUUGAAUAAAUAUAAUGUACAGGUUGUCACAAGUUCUAGUAAGUGUGGUCCACUCAUAUUACGAUUUAUUCACUUGUUUCUGAUUUCUAUUGAGCUCCUAUAUCAUAUGUGAUUAUCUACAUCUUUACAUACUCAGUACAUAUUUCAUACUGACGUCCCCCACGGGGGCCUGCAUUUCAUGUUGCAGGCAUUGGUACCUCAGCUCAUACACAGCACAAGUAGGAGCCAGGAUAUCCAGCUGCUUUUGGUGAGCUCCAGUUUGCUUUGGGGCUUUUCGUGUCAUCUCCAGUCACUUUUGGUAUUGUAUAGAAGUUAGUUAUAUAAAGGGGUAUGUCCCGACCUUAGUUAAACUCUGUAUUGUCUAGAGGCUUUGUAGACCUAAUGUACAGUCAAAGUGGUGUUUUGUUAAUAGACGUGAUGGCUCCAACGGCCAAGUAUUAUAUAUACAUAUAUAUGUGUGCUCAAGCUUAUACAGGUGAUUAUUUCCCUUUAUAUGCGACAUGAUGUUGUCU
rnacentral:lncRNA from 1 species